AACAUUUGAAAAGAAUUCCGUUGUGUUGCAGUUUAUUGAGCUCGAACGAGAAGUGCGACGAAGAAGGCCGUUAUUCGUUAAUAAUUCUUUUAAAGAAUACGGGUCAGAUAUGGACAACGACCUCGAAGACAUUUGCAGUAGGCUAAACAGAGAAAGAGAGGGAGAACCAAAACUACCUGUCCUGGCAUCACACUUGAGGAGGAGAUGAAGUCGGUGAAUAUGACCUAGCCCGGGGGAGUUUCCAGAAGAAGGCCCAGAACCGCCGACCGCCAGGAGUGGAGGUCCUUCGUGGUUGCCCUACGUGCCAGGCGGCAUCAGGCAGUAGAUGAUGUAAGUUGAAAUGGAAGGUGUCCUGAAUCUGCACCCAGUCAUCUGGUUUCGUAACACCUUUCAUAGCGCCAUUGGAACCUGCUCCCUACCAGUAUAACAUCGAACAGAUUGGAAGAAUAACGGCCAAUGGGAAGUGCCUUUUAUACCCCUACUUGCCACACAGCAGUCUGUGGUUUAUCGCAAUCUAAACUGGAUUAUUGUAGCUCUUCGUGCUUGAAUUAGGGCGAUCUGGACCGACUGCAGAUAGUACAGAAUGCUGCACCUAUUGUGCCAUUUGCCAUACACCCACUUUGCUGGCUGCAAGUCAAGGAAAGGAUGUACAUGAACAUCAGUGUCCGUCUACUGAUUUUCAAAGUCAAUGACAGGGAUCCAGAUUACAUGUAUUAAAAGGAAUGCCUUGUGCGUCAUUUUCGUUUAGGCGCACUUGCCUUUUUAUUUUUGUGAUCCUUAGUCUACCAUGCACCUACAAAUUAGCUACUGGUGAUGAAACUUUCUCCACUACUGCUCCAAGGCCAUGGAAUUAGCUCCAUCCUCUCCUCCAAUUUUUGACAACCUUGGAUCAAUAUCAUUUGAGAAGACCUACUACAUUCCUGAUCAUCUUUGCUCUGGACUUGGAACAACACUGUCACUGCCUGGUAAUUUGAAUUCUUUUAAAUCUCAUGUGCUGACUAGGAUGGCAUCUCAAAGUGCUUUGUAUCUCACAAAACAGUGUGUUGUGUAAAAGAGAACAAGCAUUGAGGUCAAGCAUAAGGGUAACCAUGGAUAUGGCCUUUGAUUACUUUUUAACAAAACUGAAAAAUUCAUGAAAAUAGGACAAGGGAUAAUAAAGUAAUGUAUGACAUUCUAAGCUCUGCGUUAUUUUGGUGAAAGACCUCUAAGCAUAUGCAAGUAGCCUGCUGAUGAUGUCAUACAGACGUACACGUACAUGUAUCCCCAACUUAUUAUUUUGUAUAUAAAAUUGUGUAUUUAAAUUGGAUUGUAAACUGCAUUGAUGUGACUUACCUGUAUUGAUUAUUGCUGGAAGUUCUUUUGCUACAUGGGAUUGGAAGACAUACUUAUUACACACAUGAAAUGAUUACUAUUUCAUCUGGUAACAGAACAAUAAAAAUGUGGGCAUGAUAUCAUAAACUUAUCUACUUGCAUGUGUUAAUUACCAAUAUUUUUGUAAUUAUUUUUUAUCUGAUUUUGAUAAAAUUUUCACUAUUUUGCAUGGUAAAUAUUACUUUAUUUAUCAUAGAUAUAGUUAUGUUGAGCCCGGAUAUACAAGUACCCCUUUAAAGAUAAAUUACCAGUUGUAGUAACAAUCUUAAAAUGAGUUCGAACAGAAUCCAAAUAUAGCUCGAGAAGAAAAUGCGUAAUUGCUGAGAAAUGAGCAAAAUAAGCAUGUAAAUCUAUCAAAUGUCAGGUAUAUUUCGAUCAAUCAUAUUACACUGUCCUGUCUCACAUAUGUUUUUCUGUGUUAGUGAUCAUCAGAAUUAUUGAUUUUAAAGAUAAAUUCCAGUUCUGGUAACGAUCUCAAAAUGAAUUUUUACAGAAUCUAAUAUAAUGACCACCCAAGUGUCUGUAUGAAUAAAAAAUAUGUGCCAAAGGAUUCUGGAAGAAAUUGUGUAAUUGCUGAGAAAUAAGCAAAAUAAGCGUGGAUUCGGUCACUUCCGUCGGGUCUUUAUUCCAGAAAUAAUAAUACACAUUCCCACGUGUGCCUAUCUGUGUUGGUGAUCUUCAGUUUGAACCUUCUUAGCGUAGAUUUCAAGAUUUCACAAAGUUCAGUUUAUGUAACUGUACCAGGGAUCUAGAUCCUCGAUUAUAUACUGACAAUUAAGCCUGGUUUUACAGACUUUCUCAUGAAAUCAGUGUUUCCUGCAACUACUGGCAUUUCUCUUUAAGUUCAAAAUUCAUGAUUUUACAAAGAUACAAGUUUACAUUAAUGUACCAGAUCUAGAUCAUGUACAAUAUUUUGACAAUUAACCUUAAUUUAAAAGACUUUCUCAAGAAAUAAUUGUUUGCUGCAACUACUGUCAUUUACCCCUAAGUGAUAAUGUAAUACAAUCACAAACUUUUCAUAAGAAUUAAUGUACAUGUAUGAUUCUUAAACCCAAAUGCAAGCUUCCAUAAAUCCUGAAAUCAAUGCAACUCAGGUAUUUUUUUUUUACAUAUAGUAUAUUUUUACCUACUUUACAUAGAUCUCUAAAGUUUAAGGUAUAUUUAAUUACAAUUUCAACAAAAAAGCUAUAUUCUUGGAGAUCAUUAUUAUUCAUAAUGCCUCUGUUAUGUAUUAAUGUACACCUGUAUUAUGUAUUGGUAUAACAAACAUUGUAAUUAUUUCAUUCCUUUGACUCUAAUACUGCAUUUUCAUAGAAAAGUGUUUUUUUUUAAAUCUAUUUCUUUUCCUUUUUUUGCUGGUAAUAUCAUGUUAUGCAACUUUUAUUUAUUAAUAGAAUAUUUGUCAUGAUUUCCUAAUUGAAAUGCGUACACGUAUUUGAUUUUGUUUUCCAUUUUUGUAUAUAUUCUUUUUCUGGGGGGGGGGGUCAUGUUCUUGAGACUGAGUCAACUUAUGCAAGGCCCUGGCAUGGAGGAUCAUUAUAUUGUUACUGGGAAUGCUGGACAUUGUCAGACCACCUCAGUAUUCACCAACAAUAGAUAAUCCUCCAUGACAAGGUCUUUGAAGUGGUGUGUGUACAUUACAUGUAGAAUUUAAUUUAAAUGUUUAUGUCAUCACGUCAGAAUACGUUAAAAUAUCAUAGUUGACUCCAAAAGACGUCAUAUUCAUUUCAAUAUGCGACGUCAAUAUGACGUCUAUUACUAGUCAGCAAUAUGUUACAAAGUCGUCAUUCAGACGUCGUAGUUGACUUAUAAAGACGUCAUAAUUACAGCAAUAUGACGUCUGAAACUGGUCAGGAAUAGGUUACAAAGUUGUCAUAAAGACGUCGUAGUUGACUUUUAAAGACGUCAUAAUUACAUCAAUAUGACGUCUAAAACCGGUCAGGAAUAGGUUGCACGGACGUCAUUACGACGUCGUAGUCGACUCUCGAAGACGUCAUAAUCACGUCAAUACACGACGUCAAGCUGACCCUUGAUACUGGUCAGGAAAACGUUGUAAAAACGUUGCAAAGACGUCAUUAAGACGUCGUAGUCAAUCUUGGAGACGUCAUAAUGACGUCAAUAUAUGACGUCAUAAUGACGUUAUUCGCGGGUGCAAGAUCCCGUCAAUAAGACGUCCUGUUACGACGUCAAAAUGACGUGACACUCGUCGUUAAACUGACGUAAUUAUGACGUCAUUUUUACCAGUUUCUGCUAUCAGGGUAG